AUUGAACGCUGGCGGCAUGCUUUACACAUGCAAGUCGAACGGCAGCGCGGGCUUCGGCCUGGCGGCGAGUGGCGAAAGGGUGAUUAAUGCAUUGGAAUGUGCCCAGUAGUGGGGGAUAGCCCGGCGAAAGCCGGAUUAAUACCGCAUACGACCUGAGGGUGAAAGCGGGGGACCGAAAGGCCUCGCGCUAUUGGAGCGGCCGAUGUCGGAUUAGCUAGUUGGUGGGGUAAAGGCUUACCAAGGCGACGAUCCGUAGCUGGUCUGAGAGGACGACCAGCCACACUGGGACUGAGACACGGCCCAGUCUCCUACGGGAGGCAGCAGUGGGGAAUUUUGGACAAUGGGGGCAACCCUGAUCCAGCCAUGCCGCGUGCGGGAAGAAGGCCUUCGGGUUGUAAACCGCUUUUGUUCGGGAAGAAAUCCUCUGGGCUAAUACCCCGGGGGGAUGACGGUACCGGAAGAAUAAGCACCGGCUAACUACGUG
rnacentral:rRNA from 1 species